rnacentral:tRNA from 1 species
CGGUAUGUAGCGCAGUUUGGUAGCGCACUGCUCUGGGGGAUCAGGGGUCGUAGGUUCAAAUCCUAUUAUACCGA